AGAAUGUGGACCUAAUAAUAGAAGUUUGACUCUUCUUAGUGACCGA
rnacentral:tRNA from 1 species